AAUAAGGGUAGUUUUUACACUAUUCAUGUCCAAUGUUUAACCAUUCGUCUUAUUUAAAAAAAAAUUAUGAUUACUAUUUUUAUAGUUAUUAGAUGAUAAAAUAUGAAUAAUACUUUAUGUUUGACUAUUUUUUAAAAUUUUUCAUAUUUUGUUAAAUAAGACAGACAGUUAAACGUUGGACACGGAUACCAACGGCGGUACUUAUU
rfam:Oryza glaberrima chromosome 8 Oglab08_0062_2, whole genome shotgun sequence.